rnacentral:lncRNA from 10 species
CCGCGAUCACCUUUAGAGCACGCUCAUCACCCCAUGUGCCGGCACGCCUGCGCUGGGCGUUUCACGUAGACGGAGUUGUGCGGUGUGUAGCCUUCGGUGACUGGCUGCUGGGUGUUUCCCGUAGAUAGAGUCAUGUGUCAUGAUGACUUUUGAGAAGGGCCAGAUUCCCAGGUCAAAAUUGCCCCUGAGAAGUUGGGUGAAAGCCAGAGGUUUUAUCAAAAGCCACCUGUGGAAUUAAGUCACAAAUGGAGUCAGAUGGAUUCCUCCUUCACUCCCUGCCCGGGAUUACGGCGUCAGGUGGGCUGAUAGCACAGCUGUUGUAGAUUGUGAAAAUGGUCGGAGAUUCUUUGCCACUCCAGGCAUCUGGAGCACCCACUCUCCUGGAUUAGCAGCUUAGGCUGCCCCCAUCCCCAUGCAGAAAUCACGAUUUCCCUGUCAUUGGAAGCUGGGCGGCCAAGUGACUGGCUUUGACCAGUAGAGCCUGGUGGAAGCGUUGGGUGAAUUCUGAGCCUCUGCACCUGAGAAGUUUUGCAUCUUCUGUCCUUGGACAGGGACCCUUUAGCUACUGUGUGAACAAACUCCAGCCAGCCUGAUGAAGGAUGAUAGACUGCAAGGAGGAACGUCGGGUCAUUUCAGCUCUGCAGCUGUGCUGCUGCUCCUGGGAGACGCUCCCAGCAUGAAGGGAGGCCCACCAGAGACAGCAGGACCUGGGCCAGACCAGACGGAUGGCCCAUCUGAGGCCAGCCUAAACUGCUGAGCUAAAGAGAACGAUGAACUAAAUAAAAUUGUUGCUGUUUUAACCCCCUAAGUAUUAGGGUGAUUUGUUGCAUAUUUCUCUGUUAAAAUUCUUAAUAAUUUAAAAAUAAUUGCCUUAAACAUAUUGACAGUGUAAUUUUAAAUGUGUCUCAUUCUGUACCCAGGCUCCAUGUGGUGUGGUUAUACUGUGCAUUCUUUCUGUUACUUUUGGUCAUAUUAUCUAGUUUUCUGAUGUGUCUGGUUAUUAUUGAGUGAUGGGAACUGCAUAUAAAAAAACUGUAGAAAUAUUUUGAGGGAUGUGAUGAUGUUAUCUCUCUGUAGAGGCUGUAUUUUCUUCUCGGGGGAAGCUAAGGCAUUGGUAGCCCUGGGUCACCUCAAUCCAGUUUCAUGGAUCUAAAGUCUAUGAAACUCACCUUCAGUUCUAGGGUUAAGCCUGUCAGGGUCCCAAAAAGUGUAGGGGAAUUACCAGUCUCCUCUUCCAAAACUGGACUCCACUUUUUUUUUUUUAAAUUCACUGAACCAAGAUAAACUUAUUUUAUCUUGCACAUUUUAUCUUAAAAGAAGAAGAAGUCUUGCACAUCUUCUCACUCUCCUAGCUGCCUCUUUGAAGGACGAGAUGCCCUUGGUAGGGGUGGGGCAGUAGUUCAAAUCCUGUGCUUCCUUUUCUGUAUUUUCUUCUCCUGCUAGAUCUUGGGGAUACAAUUCUCCACUGCCUUGCACUUUCUAGUUAGCCUUUACACAAACUCCACUUUUGACUGAUAUUUUAGCUGCUAGCAAGAGGAUUGGUAAGAAUUAUCUGAAACUCUAUUAUCAGAAAAAGAAAUACACAAGGACUUAAUUUUUAAAAGAUAUAUUGAAGUGGGCCGGGGGUGGUGGC